rnacentral:rRNA from 1 species
AGAGUUUGAUCAUGGCUCAGAUUGAACGCUGGCGGCAGGCCUAACACAUGCAAGUCGAACGGUAACAGAAAGCAGCUUGCUGCUUUGCUGACGAGUGGCGGACGGGUGAGUAAUGUCUGGGAAACUGCCUGAUGGAGGGGGAUAACUACUGGAAACGGUAGCUAAUACCGCAUAACGUCGCAAGACCAAAGAGGGGGACCUUCGGGCCUCUUGCCAUCGGAUGUGCCCAGAUGGGAUUAGCUUGUUGGUGGGGUAACGGCUCACCAAGGCGACGAUCCCUAGCUGGUCUGAGAGGAUGACCAGCCACACUGGAACUGAGACACGGUCCAGACUCCUACGGGAGGCAGCAGUGGGGAAUAUUGCACAAUGGGCGCAAGCCUGAUGCAGCCAUGCCGCGUGUAUGAAGAAGGCCUUCGGGUUGUAAAGUACUUUCAGCGGGGAGGAAGGGAGUAAAGUUAAUACCUUUGCUCAUUGACGUUACCCGCAGAAGAAGCACCGGCUAACUCCGUGCCAGCAGCCGCGGUAAUACGGAGGGUGCAAGCGUUAAUCGGAAUUACUGGGCGUAAAGCGCACGCAGGCGGUUUGUUAAGUCAGAUGUGAAAUCCCCGGGCUCAACCUGGGAACUGCAUCUGAUACUGGCAAGCUUGAGUCUCGUAGAGGGGGGUAGAAUUCCAGGUGUAGCGGUGAAAUGCGUAGAGAUCUGGAGGAAUACCGGUGGCGAAGGCGGCCCCCUGGACGAAGACUGACGCUCAGGUGCGAAAGCGUGGGGAGCAAACAGGAUUAGAUACCCUGGUAGUCCACGCCGUAAACGAUGUCGACUUGGAGGUUGUGCCCUUGAGGCGUGGCUUCCGGAGCUAACGCGUUAAGUCGACCGCCUGGGGAGUACGGCCGCAAGGUUAAAACUCAAAUGAAUUGACGGGGGCCCGCACAAGCGGUGGAGCAUGUGGUUUAAUUCGAUGCAACGCGAAGAACCUUACCUGGUCUUGACAUCCACAGAACCUUGUAGAGAUACGAGGGUGCCUUCGGGAACUGUGAGACAGGUGCUGCAUGGCUGUCGUCAGCUCGUGUUGUGAAAUGUUGGGUUAAGUCCCGCAACGAGCGCAACCCUUAUCCUUUGUUGCCAGCGGUCCGGCCGGGAACUCAAAGGAGACUGCCAGUGAUAAACUGGAGGAAGGUGGGGAUGACGUCAAGUCAUCAUGGCCCUUACGACCAGGGCUACACACGUGCUACAAUGGCGCAUACAAAGAGAAGCGACCUCGCGAGAGCAAGCGGACCUCAUAAAGUGCGUCGUAGUCCGGAUUGGAGUCUGCAACUCGACUCCAUGAAGUCGGAAUCGCUAGUAAUCGUGGAUCAGAAUGCCACGGUGAAUACGUUCCCGGGCCUUGUACACACCGCCCGUCACACCAUGGGAGUGGGUUGCAAAAGAAGUAGGUAGCUUAACCUUCGGGAGGGCGCUUACCACUUUGUGAUUCAUGACUGGGGUGAAGUCGUAACAAGGUAACCGUAGGGGAACCUGCGGUUG